UACGUAGGGUGCGAGCGUUAAUCGGAAUUACUGGGCGUAAAGCGCGCGCAGGCGGCUUUGCAAGACAGAUGUGAAAUCCCCGGGCUCAACCUGGGAACUGCAUUUGUGACUGCAAGGCUAGAGUACGGCAGAGGGGGAUGGAAUUCCGCGUGUAGCAGUGAAAUGCGUAGAUAUGCGGAGGAACACCGAUGGCGAAGGCAAUCCCCUGGGCCUGUACUGACGCUCAUGCACGAAAGCGUGGGGAGCAAACAGG
rnacentral:rRNA from 1 species